GUGUCUCUCAAGUAUGUUGUAAUUUAUUUGUGAGUUAUUCUCAAGCAAUGUUACAAAACAUUUUAAUGUCUUGAUAAGAAAAUAAAAUUUAAAUAAAAAUACAUUCAACAAUACAUCAUAAUACAAAUUAAAACUAAUGAUAAUUUACAAUCCUAACAGAACUAAUUACUGAUUAACAUCAUCUUUCUAGACUAAUCAAAAUGAAGGCAACUUUUAUUAUUAAUAUCCUACUCGUACCUAAUUAAAUUCUAGAACAUCUACUGCAUUUUAAAACAUUAUAAAAUGAGAAAUCAAAUCUUAAUGGUCACAGAUAUUUAAUGGCCUUUGUUUUUUUCCUAGAUAUUCCCGUACCAAAGCAAAAAAAAAAAAAGUGCAUAUUUAAAAAAAAAAAUUGUUUCAAGAGCAUACAAUUUAAUUUUUUGUAAAUUUGACUUUGAAAACAACAGAAAAUGGCUCCAAGGAACAGAUACUUUGCCACAGGGUUUAUCUAUAUACAGCAAAACCUAACUUUGACACUCAGUCACAUUCAUCUUUGUUUAAUGGCAGCUUUUUGUUAAUGGAGCGUUUUAUGAAUGACAAUCAGACCCACUCUACCUUGGCAAAACACAUUUCUUGGCAUUACUAUGUUCCCUUCCCUCCCACCCCCCAAUUUCAACUGUUGGCAAAUAAGAGUCCCUUAGAAUACAUCAAAUGUGUAAAAAAGGAAAAGGCAAAAAUGGUGGACAUGAAUAAAUGAUUGUGACGUUGCACAUACUAGUACAGAAUCGUGGAUAUUCUAAAACGGUUUGUCUGGUAUUAAACCAAAAUAGUUAUCCUAAUCAGUUACAUUCAUUCCAAAAGAUAUUUAAAUCCUGUCUUGCUAACUUGCUCCUAUUACAGAAAGACUCCCUAGAACAGUAUAAUAGAUGUAUAGUAAUUUAAACAGCUUACAGUUUCAAGCAUUGUGGAUUUCUAUUCUAUUUGUAAGUUACAUUCCUAAUUAAUUUGGCCAAAUCAUGAUUGUAAAAGAACAAUAAAACCCCCAAAACACACCCAACAACAAAAGACCCCACAGCAAAUGCUCCAAAAAUAAACGUACCACAUACAGUUAUUAUUAAAAAUAAUAUUCCGAGGAGUACCACUGUAUUUAAUACUGAUGAAGCAAAGUUGC
rnacentral:lncRNA from 1 species